UACAGAGGGGGCAAGCGUUAUUCGGAAUUAUUGGGCGUAAAGGGCGCGUAGGCGGCUUGGCAAGUGGAUGGUGAAAUCCCCGGGCUUAACCUGGGAAUGGCAUUUGGGACUGCAAGGCUGGAGUGCGGCAGAGGAGACUGGAAUUCCUGGUGUAGCAGUGAAAUGCGUAGAUAUCAGGAGGAAUACCGAUGGCGAAGGCAGGUCUCUGGGCUGACACUGACGCUCAUGCACGAAAGCGUGGGGAGCAAACAGG
rnacentral:rRNA from 1 species